GUGGGGAAUAUUGGACAAUGGGCGAAAGCCUGAUCCAGCCAUGCCGCGUGAGUGAUGAAGGCCUUAGGGUUGUAAAGCUCUUUCAGUAGGGAAGAUAAUGACGGUACCUACAGAAGAAGCCCCGGCUAACUUCGUGCCAGCAGCCGCGGUAAUACGAAGGGGGCUAGCGUUGUUCGGAUUUACUGGGCGUAAAGCGCACGUAGGCGGAUCGUUAAGUCGGGGGUGAAAUCCUGGAGCUCAACUCCAGAACUGCCUUCGAUACUGGCGAUCUUGAGUCCGGAAGAGGUGAGUGGAACUCCUAGUGUAGAGGUGGAAUUCGUAGAUAUUAGGAAGAACACCAGUGGCGAAGGCGGCUCACUGGUCCGGUACUGACGCUGAGGUGCGAAAGCGUGGGGAGCAAACAGGAUUAGAUACCCCUGUAGUCC
rnacentral:rRNA from 1 species